rnacentral:rRNA from 1 species
CCCGCCUGGGGAGUACGAUCGCAAGAUUAAAACUCAAAGGAAUUGACGGGGCCCCGCACAAGCAGCGGAGCAUGCGGCUUAAUUCGACGCAACGCGAAGAACCUUACCAAGGCUUGACAUAUACAGGAAUAUGGCAGAGAUGUCAUAGCCGCAAGGUCUGUAUACAGGUGGUGCAUGGUUGUCGUCAGCUCGUGUCGUGAGAUGUUGGGUUAAGUCCCGCAACGAGCGCAACCCUCGUUCUGUGUUGCCAGCAUUUAGUUGGGGACUCACAGGAGACUGCCGGGGUUAACUCGGAGGAAGGUGGGGAUGACGUCAAAUCAUCAUGCCCCUUAUGUCUUGGGCUGCACGCAUGCUACAAUGGCUGGUACAAACGGCUGCGAUACCGCAAGGUGGAGCGAAUCCGAGAAAGCCAGUCUCAGUUCGGAUUGGGGUCUGCAACUCGACCCCAUGAAGUCGGAGUUGCUAGUAAUCGUAGAUCAGCAACGCUACGGUGAAUACGUUCCCGGGGCUUGUACACACCGCCCGUCACAUCACGA